UUGGAGGGCAAGUCUGGUGCCAGCAGCCGCGGUAAUUCCAGCUCCAAUAGCGUAUAUUAGAGUUAUUGCAGUUAAAAAGCUCGUAGUUGAAUUUCGGGGUUCUACCGUUGGUCGGGCUUUGUCUGUACUGGUGUGUAGAAUUUCUACCUUCUGGGGAACCAUCAUGCUAUUAAUUUAGCGUGGUGGGAAACCAGGACCUUUACCUUGAAAAAAUUAGUGUGUUCAAAGCAGGCUUAUGUCUGAAUACAUUAGCGUGGAAUAAUAGAAUAGGACGGUGGUCCUGUUUUGUUGGUUUCUGAAUCACCGUAAUGAUUAAUAGGGAUAGUUGGGGGCAUUAGUAUUCAAUUGUCAGAGGUGAAAUUCUUGGAUUUAUUGAAGACUAACUUCUGCGAAAGCAUUUGCCAAGGAUGUUUUCAUUAAUCAAGAACGAAAGUUAGGGGAUCGAAGACGAUCAGAUACCGUCGUAGUCUUAACCAUAAACUAUGCCGACUAGGGAUCGGACGAUGUUAAUUUUUCCUGACUCGUUCGGCGCCUUACGGGAAAC
rnacentral:rRNA from 1 species